rnacentral:rRNA from 1 species
GCCUAACACAUGCAAGUCGAGCGGCAGCGAGACUAAUGGCAAUACUAGUUGUCGGCGAGCGGCGGACGGGUGAGGAACACGUAGGAACUUGCCCUUUAGAGGGGGAUAACCAAGGGAAACUUUGGCUAAUACCGCGUAAACUCGAAAGAGGAAAGCUGCCCGAAAGGGUGGCGCUAAAGGAGAGUCCUGCGUCUGAUUAGCUAGUUGGUGAGGUAAUGGCUUACCAAGGCGAUGAUCGGUAACUGGUCUGAGAGGACGACCAGUCACACUGGGACUGAGACACGGCCCAGACUCCUACGGGAGGCAGCAGUGGGGAAUAUUGGACAAUGGGGGCAACCCUGAUCCAGCGAUGCCGCGUGGGUGAAGAAGGCCUUCGGGUUGUAAAGCCCUUUAGGUUGGGAAGAAGUGAAUUGUAGGAUAAUGACAGUUCAUUGACGGUACCGACAGAAUAAGCACCGACAAACUCUGUGCCAGCAGCCGCGGUAA